GUCAGGKUAACCUGAGAACCCGAAAGGUCGAAAGAGGAAAUUUCAUUCGCGUUUCGAUCGUCGAAGUUGGACGUUUGUACGACGAGUGGUGUUUCGGCAUCGUUUGCGUCUUAUGUUCAUCGAAUCGAUGUCGAACGCGUGCACUUUUCCUCUAGUAGGACGUCGCGAUCCGUUGGGUGUCUGUCUAAGACUCGGGGUGGAGCCCGCGUGAUAUUUUUGAUUACGCGGACCCUCGAUGUUCCGACAGACUCGCUCGACGGUAUAAUAAUGGCGCGGGGCCGCUACUUUAGUUAGCGUUCGGCCCGUAGCAAGCACGUUUCGUGUUAGACGGUGAUCGGACCUAGUGCCGAUUCUGUCCCGGAACGACUGUUGGUUGCGGUGUUCUCGAACAGACCUCGUUUUGAAACGCCGAUCAWCGACGCUA
rnacentral:rRNA from 1 species